rnacentral:rRNA from 1 species
UACGAAGGGGGCUAGCGUUGCUCGGAAUCACUGGGCGUAAAGCGCACGUAGGCGGACUCUUAAGUCGGUGGUGAAAUCCUGGAGCUCAACUCCAGAACUGCCUUCGAUACUGAGAGUCUCGAGUCCGGGAGAGGUGAGUGGAACUGCGAGUGUAGAGGUGGAAUUCGUAGAUAUUAGGAAGAACACCAGUGGCGAAGGCGACUCACUGGUCCGGUACUGACGCUGAGGUGCGAAAGCGUGGGGAGCAAACAGG